GACGAACGCUGGCGGCGUGCCUAAUACAUGCAAGUCGAGCGCAGGAAGUCAUCCGAACCCUUCGGGGGGACGUUGACGGAAUGAGCGGCGGACGGGUGAGUAACACGUAAAGAACCUGCCCUCAGGUCUGGGAUAACCACGAGAAAUCGGGGCUAAUACCGGAUGGGUCAUCGGACCGCAUGGUCCGAGGAUGAAAGGCGCUCCGGCGUCGCCUGGGGAUGGCUUUGCGGUGCAUUAGCUAGUUGGUGGGGUAAUGGCCCACCAAGGCGACGAUGCAUAGCCGACCUGAGAGGGUGAUCGGCCACACUGGGACUGAGACACGGCCCAGACUCCUACGGGAGGCAGCAGUAGGGAAUCUUCCACAAUGGACGAAAGUCUGAUAGAGCAAACGCCGCGUGAAACGAUGAAAGGCCCUCGGGUUCGUAAAAUUUC
rnacentral:rRNA from 1 species